CCUACGGGAGGCUGCAGUGGGGAAUAUUGGACAAUGGGGGGAACCCUGAUCCAGCCAUGCCGCGUGUGUGAAGAAGGCCCUCGGGUUGUAAAGCACUUUCAGUGAGGAAGAACGCCUGGUGGUUAAUACCCAUCAGGAAAGACAUCACUCACAGAAGAAGCACCGGCUAACUCCGUGCCAGCAGCCGCGGUAAUACGGAGGGUGCGAGCGUUAAUCGGAAUUACUGGGCGUAAAGCGCGCGUAGGUGGCUUGAUAAGCCGGUUGUGAAAGCCCCGGGCUCAACCUGGGAACGGCAUCCGGAACUGUCAAGCUAGAGUGCAGGAGAGGAAGGUAGAAUUCCCGGUGUAGCGGUGAAAUGCGUAGAGAUCGGGAGGAAUACCAGUGGCGAAGGCGGCCUUCUGGACUGACACUAACACUGAGGUGCGAAAGCGUGGGUAGCAAACAGGAUUAGAUACCCUUGUAGUC
rnacentral:rRNA from 1 species